GCCUUGAUCAUCGUUUUCCCCUGUAGAGUCUUACAUCUGUCCUGUUUUCCUCUGCAUUCCCAGAUUCGGAGCUGGGCUCAGUGUCGGCCACGUGGAUCGCAGAUCCUCAAUUAACGUAUGAUGAGUGGAUGAAAGAAUGAGUAAAUGAACGUGGAAGCUGAAUCAACACUGUCUCUGGGAUCUCAAAUUCAGAGGUGGUCUCCUUAUGAUCCUGCUUCAUCCUCUUCUGCAUCCAUUCUGUCUGGUGAACAAGAGCAAGUCCCAAGUAUCCACAUCUUAAAGCCAAAGUCCCAAGCUUCUUUCACAUUGCAGCACCAUAGAGACCUGGCAAAUGGAACUGAAAGGGGAGCUCUUCAUGAAAGGAAAGACAGACUCUCAGUGCCCCAGAAACCCUGGGCCAAAUUCAAUCAGCACUUGGCACACAGACAACGCUGACAUAUUUGUGGAAUGAAUGAGCGGCUGCACAAACGAACGGGUCCUAAACACCACUGGGGUGUCCAAGCUGCUCUGGCUUCGGCUGGCUCCUGGAAAACGCUGCCAUUUCUUGGCUGGUGGCUGCGUCACUCCAAUCUCUGCCUCUGUCAUCACAGGACCUUCUUCUCUGUGUGUCCUUCUCUGUCUCUUAUUGGACUCUGGGCCCACCCUAAUCUAGUAUGAUCUCAUCUUGAUCCUUACCUCAUCACAUCUGCAAAGACCCUGUUUCCAAAUAAGGUCCCAUUCUGAAGUUCUGAGUUGACAUGAAUUUGGGGAGGACACACCAUCCACCCCACUAUAGAUAACGUCUCCCCCAAGAAGGCAUCCUGAUGAGCCCUCGUCGCUCUCUGUCCCAGGCUGGGCCACCAUGACACCGACUCCUCCUCGUCUCCCCAUUUCAUCAGGGGCAUCUCGUGGCAGGGACCAUGUCUGAGAAGAUACUCAGUACAUGUGUACUGAGCUGAACUAAAACAUAUCACAGGGACUAGCAACUCUUUAAUGGAUUCCAAGGUCAAUGUAUAUGAGAAACAGCUUCCGAGUAGCUUCCCAAAAGUCCAAGAUUCCAGGCCUUGUGGUCCAGAAAUCUCCAGUAACACUCGCAGCAGAAGCUGAUGGUCCAGAAAAUGGUGCUUUGAGGACAGAGAUUCAAGAAUUCCAGGGGUCUGAAAGACGCAAGCACAGAGGUAGGUCCUAUUCGAAAUCAGAGGCUAUCUCUGCAGUUUCCCCAAAGGACCCAUUGGCUCUACUCACAUUCAGAGACAAGAGGCCACCUCAGGGCAACUGCAAAAUCAAAACCCUCUGAAAGGGGCUGGAAGGGAGGCAAUGUGGAGACAUCUAUACUCAAGAUAAGGCCGAGGAGAAAAUGGUAGAAUUCAUUAGCAGAGCCUCUGAGACACUUCUCUUUUGUGGAGUAUUGGAGAAGAAAACGGAAUUAAUCCCCACUUUGGCUAUAGAUUUAUUUGGCUUAUCUGAAGGGCAAAACUAAGAGUGCUAAUGGAUUUGAAAGAGCCCAGAUAAUUCUCCACUUGAGGCUGAGACCACCGGGGUCUGUGCCCAUGGGUGCAACGAUUAGCCCGCAGAAAAUGUUAGCUGAGUGAAGGAAUCCAUGAGUGAUGAUGACUGAUGUUUACUGCCCAGUUGCUAAGCACCACAUAACCACGUGACCUGGCUCAGGUAUCACAGGAACCUUCCAGCAUCUCCUCAGCACCCUUCCUGAAACCCUACCCAAAACAGCCGCCGCCCCCACCCACUGCAUUAUUCUUGCUCACCCCUUGUAUCUUCCCUUCAUACCUUUUAUCAUAAUUAUUUAUUGUUUUAUUUGUUUUCCUGAGUUUACUUAGUUGACACCCUCACCCAAAUGGAGGUUCCCUGAGGACGGAGAACAGGGCUGCCUUGGCCACAUCUGUUUCCCUGGUUCCUGACACAGAGCAAUCAAAACAGGUUUGCUGAAUGAAUGAAUGAACGAAUGGCAGUUGGGCAUUAGGAUGCAGCACAAAGGAGAGAGGAGUGGCAAGUGUCCUUAUAUGAGAAAGGCUGAGGGAGAUUUGAGACACAGAGGAGAAGGCUGCGUGAAGACGAAGGCAGAGACGAGCUAUGCAGCCCACAAGCCAAGGAUGCCUGAAGCCAUCAGAAGCUGGAGGAGACAAGGAAGAGUCCUCACCAGAGCCUCCAGAGGGAGGGCAGCCCUGGCAACAACUUGAUUUUGGACUUCUGGCCUCCAGAACUUGAGAGAAUACACUUCUGUUGUUUUAGGCCAUCACGUUGUUUCAGCAGCCAGAGGAAACUAAUACACUCCCUCAUAGGAUUGCUGCAAGAAUUAAAAGAGGGGUCCAUGAAAGACAAUGUCCCCAAAUGACGGGUCUUUACAUCUCUGUGUCCAUCAUGGAGGAUCGUGGGCACUUAUCCUCAUCUUCAAACUGGAUGUGAUGAUGAGACCACAGAAUCCUGAGCAGUCACCCUCCAAAUCUUCCAACAUGAAAGAAGAUCCCGGGCAAUUCAGCAUCAUUGGAGUCCCCACCAUGGACAAGCCAGGGAAGAGUUCUCUUUGGUUGGGAGAAGUCUAAAAAUGUAGAAAUGUGGAGAGACUCCAGAUUGCUUCCCAACCCAAUUUCCAUCACAUGAAAAUUGAUGUGACGAAAAGUUUGCAAUCUAGAAGAGGGCCGUCACCUGACCAUGCUGGCACCCUAAUCUUGGACUUCCAGCCUCCAGAGCUGUGAGAACUGCUAUGCUGUGAGGAAGUCAAGCAGCCCCAUGAAGAGAGGCUCACAUGGCGAGAAACUGAGGUCUCCCCAUUGAUGGUCUGGCUGAGAUCCCGCUGACAACCAGAAACCACCUACUAAUCAUGUGAGUAUGCCAUCUUGGAAGCGGAUCUUUCAGCAGCAUCAGCUGAUGCUGCAUGAGCUACGUCGCUGAGCCCUGCCCAAAUUCCUGACUCGUAAAUCAGGAGAUGAAAUAAAAUCAUUGUUUGAAGUCACUAAGUUCUGAGGUACUUUGUUAUUCAGCAACGGAUCAUUGGAACAUGAGCUAACCACAGUCUUUCUCUCCCAACGAUUUGAAAUUUCGGUUGGAGAUAAACAAAAUAUUGGAAAUUUUAGGAGCCGAGUCUCAUUAAAAGCAACCCUUGGUGUGCAUUAGAAUCACAUGGAGAAACUGUGUCACAUGUAAAGUUCUGGUCUACAAUCUUUCCCCUAAAGUUCUGAACCAAUCAGACUGGGUAGAGCUUAGGGAUAUUUUAAGCAAACAUUGUAAGAAAGCAUCCCAGGUGCUUCUGAUAUCAUGGACUAAAACCAUGAUUUGGAUACACAACUUAGAGAAACAACACACACACAUCCACUUAGACUUUCCCUCCCCCUGCGUUGCCAAACUGGCCUUGACUUGAGCCCCUGACAAUCCAGUGUUAGCUAUUUGUAGCCUAAAAACUGGUUGGAUCUCAAGGUGAAGAAAAGCCCACAUCAAUUAAAAAAACUCAGCAGAGGAAUGGUGGUGCUUGAAUCCUCGUGAACCCACAGUUCUCUCUAAAUUGAACUUGAAGACUUAAUCAUCUCCCCAAUUUUAGAAUCCUGAAAUAUCUAGGACUGCGAGAUUAAAGACCUCUUUAAACUUCAAUGUGAAAUGUGUUCUGGUCCUUGCUAUAUUUUUUCUCCAAAAGGCAAAUCUCAUCAGCCACCUUGGGGAUUCUUCUGGAUUAUAUCACAGACAACAGGAUUCUCUCAGUAAGACAAGCUGGCUGUGACUGCCAGUAUCUGCAGACAGAAUUUCAAAGGGCUGGUCAGUAUGUGUGAACUCUAGAGAGGUGAUCGCUCUGGGGGGAAGAGUUCCUUUGAGGAGUUCAGAUAGGAAAGCUGAUUUACAGGCACUGGCCUCCCACAGUCCUGCUCUAGUUAGACAUGAAUCGGGUCAAGGUCUGUGUGUUCUUUCCCGCUUGAAGGUUUAUUUGGGAACAAGAAAAAGAGAGGAAAAAAAAAAUCUCUGUAAGUUAAGUUGGUGAACUAUUCACUUUUUCCCACAGCCAGUCCAAAGAGGCAAAUACUAUAUAAAUGAGUAUUUGAUAAGACUCAGCGUGACAAGCCUGGAGUUUUCAAAUAUGGGGUCAGUGCUAGCAAACUUGGAAAGCAGGUAACAUUUACUUCAGCAAACUUCUCCCAACUCUGUGUUUCAUAAAACCUCUCCUUGCUUUACCCCCUGUCUUCAUAUUGCCCUUCUGUCCCUCAGUCUUCCCCACGCUAAGCUUCCCUGCCUAGAAACAGCUUCUUUAGGAAGUAACUUAAGCUCCAGAAGUGUUUUCCUCCUCUUUCUUCAAUCUUCCCACCCCUCCAUCGAAACAAACCCUUCCCAAUAUCCAUGCCCUCUGGACCCUCCUCACACCUCAUCAUGAUUCAUCCUUCUGGCAGCUCUAAGUAGGGGAGAAUUUUUAUUAUUAUCCUUCAUGUUUCAGUUUUGCAUUUUAUAGGAUACUGGAAGAAGCAAUCCCUUGGGGUAACUAGUAGUUAAAGCUUCAGGCUCAUAGCAGUGAGAUGAUAGGGUUUAAAGCAAUGCAUGGCUAAAGAACAUAUGAUACGUGCGUGCGUGCGUGCGCGGGUGCGCGCGCGCACACACACACACACACACACGCUGGAAUACUACUCAGUCAUUAAAAAACGAAAAUUUGCCAUUUGCAGCAACAUGGAUAGACUUGGAGGGCAUUAUGUUAAGUGAAAUAAAUCAAACAGAGAAAGACAAAUACUGUAUGAUAUCACUUAUCUGUGGAAUCUAAAAAAUACAACUAGUGAGUAUAACAAAAAAGAAGCAGACCCACAGAUACAGACAACAGACCAGCAGUUACAAGUGGGGAAAGGGGAGGGGGAAGGGGAAAGAUAGGGGUAGGGGAAUAAAAGGUACAAACUACUAGGUAUAAAAUAAGCUACAAGGAUACAUUGUACAACACUGGGAAGAGGACCAAUAUUUUAUAAUGACUAUAAAUGGGGUAUAACUUUUAAAACUGUAAAUCAUUAUAUUAUAUCCAGUAUAUAAAUACUUACAUAAUAUUUUACAGCAACUAUAUUAUCAUUUUCUAAAACGUUUAUAGCAGCUUUAUUCAUAGUUGCCUAAAACUACAAAUAACCCAAAUGUUCAUCAGCAGAAUUGAUAAAGCACAAUAUACAUAUAUCAUGAAGUUCUAGCCACAUUAAGGAAGAAACAAACAACUGCUCCAGGCUACAAUGUUGGUGAAUCUCAGACAUAAUGAGCAGUAUAUACGUCAAUUCUUUUAAAAAAGCACUGAAGGAGGAAAAAAAAGCAAUGCAUGGCUCCUUCUUUGUACCAGGCAAACUCAGAGGCUCAGGGGAGUUGCGGGGUCCUGGGCACUGAGGAAAGAAGAGUUCAUUCUUAAACGAGGGUUUAACUGAAUACGUUUGGAUGUUUGGAAUAAAAAUGACCUCUCCUGUAACUUAGAAUCUAUUUAUUCUUCCCUGUGCAAAUUAACAAAGCUUAUUUUUAAAAUCUGGAAAAUAAAACCAACUCAAUUAAAUUUUAAAAAAAUGGAAAUCUGAAACUCACCCUCCCAAGGUUCUACUGGCUGACUCUGUGGCACAUUCUUGUGGGCAGUUUACAUUCAAGGCACGUCACAGCCCUUGGCCCUGGCUCAGCAUGGAGAAGGGGGCACUGAUCAGUCUGUCUGACCAAAGCUAAUUUCCCAGCUUGUCUACCUUGGAUCCCAAGAUUUCUAACGUAACUCUAUUUUCACAUGAAAAAAAAUCCAGACUAGAAAUCAGAAGAGCCGACUUGUAACCCAGGUUCUGCUGCUAAAUAUGGGGUCUUGAACUUAAGAGAAAAAUGAAGAGUACAAACCUGGGAAAUUUCUCUUCACCCUAAAAAAUCUAGGAUUCCAAGAUUGAAGGUCUUUGUUUAAAAUACACAUUAAUUCCCUGAAAGGAGUGACACAUUAAUCAUCUACUACCCACUGCCCCUUAGCUCAAAUGAACUUCCC